UACGUAGGGGGCAAGCGUUGUCCGGAUUUAUUGGGCGUAAAGAGCGUGUAGGCGGCUUGGUAGGUCCGCUGUGAAAACUCGAGGCUCAACCUCGAGAUGUCGGCGGAAACCACUUGGCUAGAGUCCGGAAGAGGAGAGUGGAAUUCCCGGUGUAGCGGUGAAAUGCGUAGAUAUCGGGAGGAACAUCAGUGGCGAAGGCGACUGCCUGGCCCAACACUGACGCUGAGGUGCGAAAGCGUGGGUAGCAAACAGG
rnacentral:rRNA from 1 species